rnacentral:rRNA from 1 species
UACGUAGGGUGCAAGCGUUGUCCGGAAUUAUUGGGCGUAAAGAGCUCGUAGGCGGUCUGUCACGUCGGCUGUGAAAACUCGGGGCUCAACCCCGAGCCUGCAGUCGAUACGGGCAGACUAGAGUCCGGCAGGGGAGACUGGAAUUCCUGGUGUAGCGGUGAAAUGCGCAGAUAUCAGGAGGAACACCGGUGGCGAAGACGGGUCUCUGGGCCGGAACUGACGCUGAGGAGCGAAAGCGUGGGGAGCGAACAGG